rnacentral:lncRNA from 10 species
AUGUACCGAUUCAGACCAGCCACAUUCUAGGUGCUAAGUAGACCCCUGUGGGCAAUGACUGUCACACUGAAGUGCAGUUUUGAGGGCUCUGGUUCCCCUGACCUCAGGGAGUGAAGGGCCCGAACCCCUCUUUUCUGCUAGAGGUGAGGGAAUGCCCUCCUUCUGCUAACAUCUCUCCUCAGGCCCAAGGGUGGCAGAGACAGUGCCCAGAGAGAGAAGUGGGCUGCAAUAAAGAAGUAUCUAGAGGGAGUCUACUAUUUCCCACCUGCUCUUGCCAGGGGCCCAGCCUCUUCUAUAGAUAAGACAGUGAA